rnacentral:rRNA from 1 species
AGUGAACGCUGGCGGUAGGCCUAACACAUGCAAGUCGAACGGCAGCACAGUAAGAGCUUGCUCUUACGGGUGGCGAGUGGCGGACGGGUGAGGAAUACAUCGGAAUCUACUUUUUCGUGGGGGAUAACGUAGGGAAACUUACGCUAAUACCGCAUACGACCUACGGGUGAAAGCAGGGGAUCUUCGGACCUUGCGCGAUUGAAUGAGCCGAUGUCGGAUUAGCUAGUUGGCGGGGUAAAGGCCCACCAAGGCGACGAUCCGUAGCUGGUCUGAGAGGAUGAUCAGCCGCACUGGAACUGAGACACGGUCCAGACUCCUACGGGAGGCAGCAGUGGGGAAUAUUGGACAAUGGGCGCAAGCCUGAUCCAGCCAUACCGCGUGGGUGAAGAAGGCCUUCGGGUUGUAAAGCCCUUUUGUUGGGAAAGAAAAGCAGCAGGUUAAUACCCCGCUGUUCUGACGGUACCCAAAGAAUAGGCACCGGCUAACUUCGUG